rnacentral:lncRNA from 1 species
UCUCCCUCAAGUCACUCUCUUUAAAAUUCACACAGUACAUCAAUACUCAUCUCUCAGGACAGAUAUCUAAAUUUGUCUGCUGAAGUUUACAGCCAAAUUGAACAUUUGAAGAUGUCAAUUGUACAUUAGAGUCUUGCCUCUGAUACUUUCACUUUUAGAAGAUUUUCAGAAUGUCAAAGUGACACCUUUCUAAUGACUAAAAAGAAGUGUUUUUGAAUAUUUUGAGAGCAUGAGCAGUAUCAGAACAAUUGUUAAUCAUCACAGAGUGAUUUUCAUAAAAGAUUAUUUCUUCAACAAGCCAUUUAACAGUCCUUCAUAAGCAUUGAUAGUGAAAGAAGCAUUGAUGUAGAUUGAUCAACGACUUAGUUAUGGUCAAUUUGAAUGGACGUGGUUUGAAGAGGUUGCUGACACUCAUUAUAAACGUAUACAGCUCAACUAUGCCUCUGGCUAGCAUUUCAAACAUCCACGUGCAAAUGCAAAAGGUGGUUCCCUAGUCAUCCAUUGGUUAUGUUGAAGAAUCCUUUGGUUUUCUCUCUCUCUUUCCCUAGUCAUUCAUUUGUAUCUUACAGAGCAAUCACUCAAUCAGCGCUCCUUCGAAGAUACAACUUAUCAGCCAAGCACUUCUCAAAUUCCCAGAGUUUUGGUUGCUAUGUCUAAAAGAGGGCCUAAAGCAUUAGGUGCAAAUUUUCUUGCAAAUAAGAAGCAAAGCGAAGAUGAUUGGUUAUUAUAAAGACUACAAUACAGAUAAUAAAAAGAAAAGUAGUAAGCAAAUAACUUGACAAAUUAACUAUACACACAACAAUAACUUAAAUGAUCCUAAUUCAUGCUAAAUGUCAUUAUCUAAAGUAAAGCAAUGUAGCUGAAUUCUACAAAUGCAGAACUAAGAACUCAAACUUUUGGACCUUAUCCAACGAAAGAAAGAAAUACCAGUACACAAAAAUACCAGAAAAACCAAGCAAAUUAACUAAAUUUAUACAUAAUAAAAUAAAAAACAACACAAAACGGCUGGAAAUUUUUUUCAAACAACGAAGAAUCAAGUUAGAAUUUUCCAGUACCUCCAUUAAGAGCACCAGCAGCAGUGCACUUUUUCGUAAGAUUCGCUGAGAGUUCGCAGUAUUGGCGUUCGCAGUAUUGGCGUUCGUAUCCCUCGAACACGUUGCUCAUUGUCCACGACCUUCUUCAUUCGCUUCUUCAAUUCACGAUCAAGAAAAUGAAAAGUUAUAAACUAAGAGAACGUGGAAACGUAAAUAGAGAAACAAAAUCAGAACCCAGGGAUUAAAAACCCGACACCGAAACCCUAUUCGAACGCGUAAACGUAAGAAAAUUGACGAUGAUUGGCGAAGUGAGAAGAGAAAAGCAUGUGUAGGAGCGUGAGAUCCGAAGCGAGACAGCGUCGGAGGUUAAAAACGCAAGAAAUUGGGCGGAGAAAGGGUGGCGAAGUUUGGGGAAACGAGUGUGAAUGUGUGCGAGGUGAAAGCACACUGGUUUAGGGCUUGAGAGUGCAACGAGAACGACUGUGAGAGAAGAAGAGAGUGCAGGGACAAUCUUAGGGCUCUAGAGUCAGAACAGAAAGGGGGAGAAGGUUAGGGUUCGAGAGUGAAAAGAUUCUAGAGUGAGAAGAGUCGAGACUGAAAUCCUUUGAAGUAAAUGUUAAAUGUUAUUUUUCAUUAUUUUUUAAUUACUAUUCACGAAAAAUCCGUAUUUAAAAUCAGCAGAUAAUGUUUUUUUCCACUUACAUACA